GCUUAACACAUGCAAGUCGAGCGAGAAUCGUUUAUUGAAGGCUUCGGCUGGAAAUAGAUGAGGAAAGCGGCGAACGGGUGAGUAACUCGUGGGCAAGCUGGCCUUAAGAAAAGGAAAGCCCCCGGAAACGGGGAGGAAUACUUUGUGAGAAUGGAAAAGGGCAUCCUAUUGCUAUUUAAAGCGCAAGCGCUUAAGGAUGGGCCCGCGUAUCAUUAGCUAGUUGGUGAGAUAACAGCCCACCAAGGCAACGAUGAGUAGCCGGUCUGAGAGGGCGAACGGCCACAUGGGAACUGAGAGACGGUCCAAACUCCUACGGGAGGCAGCAGUGGGGAAUAUUGCGCAAUGGAGAAGAACUCUGACGCAGCAAUACCGCGUGAGCGAAGAAGGUCUUCGGAUCGUAAAGCUCUGUUAUCAGGGAAGAAGAAAAUGACGGUACCUGAUGAGCAAGUCCCGGCUAACUACGUGCCAGCCGCCGCCGUAAAAC
rnacentral:rRNA from 1 species